rnacentral:rRNA from 1 species
GGGGAAUUUUCCGCAAUGGGCGCAAGCCUGACGGAGCAAGACCGCGUGAGGGAGGAAGGCUCUUGGGUUGUAAACCUCUUUUAUCAGGGAAGAAGAUCUGACGGUACCUGAUGAAUCAGCAUCGGCUAACUCCGUGCCAGCAGCCGCGGUAAUACGGAGGAUGCAAGCGUUAUCCGGAUUUAUUGGGCGUAAAGCGUCCGCAGGUGGUUUGACAAGUCUGCUGUUAAAGCGCGAGGCUUAACUUCGUAACGGCGGUGGAAACUGUCAGACUUGAGUAUGGUAGGGGUAGCGGGAAUUCCCAGUGUAGCGGUGAAAUGCGUAGAUAUUGGGAAGAACACCAGCGGCGAAAGCGCGCUACUGGGCCAUAACUGACACUCAUGGACGAAAGCUAGGGGAGCGAAAGAUUAUACCCCGUAGUCCUAGCUGUAAACGAUGGGUACUAGGUGUUGACCGUAUCGACCCGGUCAGUGCCGUAGCUAACGCGUUAAGUACCCCGCCUGGGGAGUAUGCACGCAAGUGUGAAACUCAAAGGAAUUGACGGGGGCCCGCACAAGCGGUGGAGUAUGUGGUUUAAUUCGAUGCAACGCGAAGAACCUUACCAGGGCUUGACAUGUCGCGAAUCCCGGUGAAAGUCGGGAGUGCCUUCGGGAGCGCGAACACAGGUGGUGCAUGGCUGUCGUCAGCUCGUGUCGUGAGAUGUUGGGUUAAGUCCCGCAACGAGCGCAACCCUCGUUUUUAGUUGCCAGCAUUGAGUUGGGCACUCUAGAGAGACUGCCGGUGACAAACCGGAGGAAGGUGGGGAUGACGUCAAGUCAGCAUGCCCCUUACGUCCUGGGCUACACACGUACUACAAUGCUUCGGACAAAGGGUUGCGAGCUAGCGAUAGCAAGCUAAUCCCGUAAACCGAGGCUCAGUUCAGAUUGCAGGCUGCAACUCGCCUGCAUGAAGGAGGAAUCGCUAGUAAUCGCAGGUCAGCAUACUGCGGUGAAUACGUUCCCGGGCCU